UUUUCAUCGCUACCUACAAGUGUCCUCUGAAGAAAGAGGAUUCGGUUCUACAGCAAUGGCUGCAUUUGUUUGCAUCAUUAGGUGAUCGUGCAAAGAGCUGGGAUAACGUGGCUGUGUUAGUUGACGAAACUAUUAAACCA